rnacentral:rRNA from 1 species
GAGUUUGAUCAUGGCUCAGGAUGAACGCUGGCGGCGUGCCUAACACAUGCAAGUCGAGCGCGGUUGUGCUUAGUAUUGAGUGUUUUAUUGAUAUAAAACAUUGAAUUCUAUGCACAACUGAGCGGCGGACGGGUGAGUAACGCGUGGGUAACCUGCCCUAUACACAUGGAUAACAUACUGAAAAGUUUACUAAUACAUGAUAAAAUAGUUUUUCGGCAUCGAAGAAUUAUCAAAGUGUUAGCGGUAUAGGAUGGACCCGCGUCUGAUUAGCUAGUUGGUGAGAUAACUGCCCACCAAGGCGACGAUCAGUAGCCGACCUGAGAGGGUGAUCGGCCACAUUGGAACUGAGACACGGUCCAAACUCCUACGGGAGGCAGCAGUGGGGAAUAUUGCACAAUGGGCGCAAGCCUGAUGCAGCAACGCCGCGUGAACGAUGAAGGUCUUCGGAUCGUAAAGUUCUGUUGCAGGGGAAGAUAAUGACG